rnacentral:rRNA from 1 species
CACGUAGGGGCGAGCGUUGUCCGGAAUUACUGGGCGUAAAGCGCGUGUAGGUGGUUCUGUAAGUAGGGCGUGAAAGCUCCCGGCUCAACUGGGAGAGGCCGUUCUAAACUGCAGAGCUAGAGGAUGGUAGAGGGAGGUGGAAUUCCAGGUGUAGCGGUGGAAUGCGCAGAUAUCUGGAGGAACACCAGUGGCGAAGGCGGCCUCCUGGACCAUUCCUGACACUCAGACGCGAAAGCUAGGGUAGCAAACGGGAUUAGAUACCUCUGUA